AGUCACCCGGGGUGGGCAGGUAACGGCUGUCCUCACCUACAGCUCACCUGUGGGCUUGUGCGUCUGGAGACGGCUGGGGCCUCCCCGGGGCGGGGUCUGCCGGAUUCUCAGGAAGGGUCAGACUCUGGACCAUGAGGCAGAGGGAUGUGGCAAUGAGGCUUGUGUGGGCCAGCCUGGGAACCUGGCAGGUGACUUACCAUGACAACUUGGGCACCCAGGGUGGAUCUGGGGGCUGGGGCUGCUCUCUGCUGGGCCCAGGCCACGGGGACUCCUGUGUGGGGCCUGCCACCUCCAGAGCCAGCAGCCUCGAGGCCACCUGACCACGGGACGAUGAGGAGCUAGAAAAGGCUCAUGUGGACGGGGUCGGGUUCUCCUCCUCUUGCCUUUCUGGCCCCACACGGGCCCACUGUGUGGCCCUGGGUAAGUCCUCAACCCCCCCCCCCCCACCCGCACCCCUGGACGUGACAGCUGUGCUGGGGGGCCUGACAACCCUGUGAUCCAGAGGCACCCCGACUCGUCAUCAUGGUGGGGCCCAGCCCUGGGCUCUGGUCUCUGGGAGUUUGGCCUCUUGGGUUUGGUAAGUGGCAGAUCUGGCCGCUUGGGAGAGACCCCUUGGUCUUUGUGGUCUGAGCUUUUAGGCCCUAAGCCUGUCCCGGGACUAUUGGUUCCUCUAUCUUCCCCUGCCUCUCUCCCUCUCCUUUCCUCCCCACAUGCCCCCUGCCUGUCACCCCUGCUCCGCCCUGUUAAUGAGUCCCAAGGAGAUGCUACGUGCUGGUGUCGCCUUUCCCGUUGGCAGACGAGAGGCCCUGAGAGCCCCUGGCAGGUUUGGCUCUGUUAAGUGCGGCCCUGACUCAUGGUUUCCAUGGCAAUGGCACUCGCGGUAACAGCCUUGGCUUGUUGCCAGGGCAGAUGACAAUCGUGACAGCCAGUCAGCCCGAGUCCAGCUGUGCUUGCAGCCAGAGGGGACAGGAUGCUGUGUGGGGGCGGCUCUCCUGCCUCUCUCUCUCUGCCCACCCAGGAUUCAGCCUGGAGCGCUGUGCCCCAGAGGGCCACUGCUCCGGCCUGGACAACCUCAGCAGGGACGCGGAUUCCAGUCCCAAAGGAGGCGGAGUGUGAUUCCUGUAACUGCAUUUCUCCACUGCCAAGUUGGUGCGACAGGGCAGUGAUUUAACUCUUGGCUCAGUGAGUGGUGUCCUUAAAAGAGAAGAGGCCUGGAUGCAUGCAUUUACACACAGACACCGAGUAAAGCCAUGUGGAGGCAGAC